rfam:Clonorchis sinensis DNA, scaffold: 1295, strain: Henan.
UCCACGGCCCUUUUCAGGGCCACCACAUUUUGAUCUUAUUCUUCGU